GGACAACCUACCCUUAGGACGGGGAUAAACCCGGGAAACUGGGUAUAAUACCCGAUAGUCCUCGAAAGCUGGAAUGCAUCGAGGACGAAAGCUCCGGUGCCUAAGGAUGGGUCUGCGGCCUAUCAGGUAGUAGUGGGUGUAGCGUACCUACUAGCCUACGACGGGUACGGGUUGUGAGAGCAAGAGCCCGGAGAUGGAUUCUGAGACACGAAUCCAGGCCCUACGGGGUGCAGCAGGCGCGAAAACUUUACAAUGCUGGCAACAGCGAUAAGGGGACCUCGAGUGCCAGGUUACAAAUCUGGCUGUCGUGAUGCCUAAAAAGCAGUCUAUAGCAAGGGCCGGGCAAGACCGGUGCCAGCCGCCGCGGUAACACCGGCGGCUCGAGUGGUAACCGUUAUUAUUGGGUCUAAAGGGUCUGUAGCCGGCCGGAUAAGUCUCUUGGGAAAUCUGGCAGCUCAACUGUCAGGCUUUCAGGAGAUACUGUCUGGCUCGAGGCCGGGAGAGGUGAGAGGUACUUCAGGGGUAGGGGUGAAAUCUUGUAAUCCUUGAAGGACCACCAGUGGCGAAGGCGUCUCACCAGAACGGACCUGACGGCAAGGGACGAAAGCUAGGGGCACGAACCGGAUUAGAUACCCGGGUAGUCCUAGCCGUAAACGAUGCGCGUUAGGUGUAUCGGUGACCACGAGUCACCGAGGUGCCGAAGGGAAACUGUGAAACGUGCCGCCUGGGAAGUACGGUCGCAAGGCUGAAACUUAA
rnacentral:rRNA from 1 species